rnacentral:snRNA from 1 species
AGAUGUGAGGGCAAUCUGGCUGUGACAUCUGUCAUCCCACUGAUCACCAGGGUUGAUUAGGCUGAUCUGACUGGCUAGGCAGGUGUCCCCUUCCUCCCUCACUACUCCAUGUGCCUGCUUCCCUCCCAAAGCUGUGGUGCUUGGUGGAAGUGGAAGAGGACUGCCUUCUCUGAAUAGAGACAACUGGUCUUCCAUUGAGGGUAUACGAGUAGCUGUGCUUCCCUACUAGAACUUCCAAACAAGCUCUCAAGAAAGAGAGAGAGAGAGAGAAUAACAACAUUAUUUAGGCAUUUGAGUCAGGAUAUCAAAU